rnacentral:misc_RNA from 1 species
AGUUAUAACCCGGGGACACAUGCGAACCAGUAGUUUUCAGAGGCUGAAAACUCAGAUGCAAAAGGCUUGGCGAUGGGGUGGCAAUUCGCGGGAACAAGAUUAUAGUUUCAAUCCUGAGGUCUUGGCAAAUCAGAAACGUCAGUGGUAUCAGCUUCAUUCCAAAACUCUGGACCAUACAAAAUUUAAGGAGCCCGCCUCACUAUUUGAACACUUUGUUAUUGUGGGGCUUCAUCCUAAUGCCAAUCUUGAGGCUGUGGAGGAUGUAUUUGCAAGAAGAAAGAAAUGGGAGUUUGAGGCGGCAAAAUCUGAUAUAAUAGCAUACAGAAGGG